rnacentral:rRNA from 1 species
AUUGAACGCCGGCGGUAGGCCUAACACAUGCAAGUCGGACGGUAGCACAGAGGAGCUUGCUCCUUGGGUGACGAGUGGCGGACGGGUGAGUAAUGUCUGGGGAUCUGCCCGAUAGAGGGGGAUAACCACUGGAAACGGUGGCUAAUACCGCAUAACGUCGCAAGACCAAAGAGGGGGACCUUCGGGCCUCUCACUAUCGGAUGAACCCAGAUGGGAUUAGCUAGUAGGCGGGGUAAUGGCCCACCUAGGCGACGAUCCCUAGCUGGUCUGAGAGGAUGACCAGCCACACUGGAACUGAGACACGGUCCAGACUCCUACGGGAGGCAGCAGUGGGGAACAUUGCACAAUGGGCGCAAGCCUGAUGCAGCCAUGCCGCGUGUAUGAAGAAGGCCUUCGGGUUGUAAAGUACUUUCAGCGGGGAGGAAGGCGAUGCGGUUAAUAACCGCAUCGAUUGACGUUACCCGCAGAAGAAGCACCGGCUAACUCCGUGCCAGCCGCCGCUGUAA